rfam:Streptomyces pratensis ATCC 33331, complete genome.
CGGUCCUUGCAUCACCCGGCGCCGGGUGACCGGAUGGACGACAUCCGAGCACUUGUGGGGUUGUCCGAUUAAUCGGCAUCACCCCUGACACCGGAGGU